rnacentral:rRNA from 1 species
GUACACACGCCCGUCACACCACGAAAGCCGUCGGCACCCGAAACUGAUUUAGCUAACUGUAAAAAGAGGCGAUCAGUGAAGGUGAAGAGGGUGAUUGGGGUGAAGUCGUAACAAGGUAGCAGUAGGUGAACCUGCAGAAGGAUCA